CCCGCACAAGCGGUGGAUUAUGUGGAUUAAUUCGAUGCAACGCGAAAAACCUUACCCACCUUUGACAUGGCAGGAAUCCUGAAGAGAUUUGGGAGUGCUCGAAAGAGAACCUGCACACAGGUGCUGCAUGGCUGUCGUCAGCUCGUGUCGUGAGAUGUUGGGUUAAGUCCCGCAACGAGCGCAACCCUUGCCAUUAGUUGCUACGAAAGGGCACUCUAAUGGGACUGCCGGUGACAAACCGGAGGAAGGUGGGGAUGACGUCAAGUCCUCAUGGCCCUUAUAGGUGGGGCUACACACGUCAUACAAUGGCCGGUACAGAGGGUAGCCAACCCGCGAGGGGGAGCCAAUCCCACAAAGCCGGUCGUAGUCCGGAUCGCAGUCUGCAACUCGACUGCGUGAAGUCGGAAUCGCUAGUAAUCGCGGAUCAGCACGCCGCGGUGAAUACGUUCCCGGGCCUU
rnacentral:rRNA from 1 species